rnacentral:rRNA from 1 species
UACAGAGGUCUCGAGCGUUGUUCGGAUUCAUUGGGCGUAAAGGGUGCGUAGGUGGCACUGUAAGUCGGGUGUGAAAUCCUGAGGCUUAACCUCGGAACUGCAUUCGAUACUGCGGUGCUUGAGGACUGGAGAGGAGACUGGAAUUUACGGUGUAGCGGUGAAAUGCGUAGAUAUCGUAAGGAAGACCAGUGGCGAAGGCGGGUCUCUGGACAGUUCCUGACGCUGAGGCACGAAGGUCAGGGGAGCAAACGGG